GCAGAACAAAACAAUGAAUGCCGCUACGGAAUAAAAACACGUUAACAUUGAUUGCCUAUAUAAAUGUAAAGAUUUUUAUUAUAUUUUUGAAGUAGGACUUUUACGGAGGUGCAGAAAGAAAAACAGGAAACUCAAGAGAGAAGCACCAAAAGCUUAGGCGUGACGCUUAAGCCGCGUUGCAAUGGGCCCAACUCCAAAUAAGGGCCUAACUCGUCUCACACCCUGGACCCAAACAUAAAAAAAUCCGGGAGUUACUCCCUGUACCUCCCCAAUUCCAACCCCCACCCCCCAAUUUUUUUGGAUUUUUUUUUAAAUACAAAAUUAAUCUUUAUGUUUUUUUUAUUUUUACCGUUUUACACCUAUUUACUAAAGUUAACCUACUCUUUUACAGUUUGCCUCAGUCAAAACACACAGACUCAAAUUUCUCUCCUUCGUAUUCCCACCCCCACCCCCACCAAAGCUUUUGAAACGCUCCUCCUCCAAAUACUCUCUGCAACUCUCACUCUCC
rnacentral:lncRNA from 1 species